GUGAGCUGAUUCCACCAGUGACUGAGCACAGACCACCACCAUGGAGCUGGGGCUGCACUGGGUUCUCCUUGUUGCUCUGUUGAAAGGUGUGCAGUGUGAGGUGCAGCUGGUGGAGUCUGGGGGAGGCUUGGUGCAGCCUGGGGGGUCCCUGAAACUCUCCUGUGCUGCCUCCGGAUUCACCUUCAGUAGAUAUGACAUGAGCUGGAUCCGCCAGGCUCCAGGGAAGGGGCUGGAGUGGCUCUCAUCCAUCUAUGGUAGUAGUAGCACAUACUACGCAGACUCUGUGAAGGGCCGCUUCACCAUCUCUAGAGACAACAGCAAGAGCACACUUUACCUGCAGAUGAACAGCUUGAGAGUGGAGGACACGGCAGUCUAUUACUGUGCUAGAGACACAGUGCAGGAAAUCCAGUGUGGGCCAGACACAAACCUCCCUGCAGGGCGCUCAGCACCAGCAGGGGGCGCUGGGCACACCACUGAGGUCAUGCUCAGACGCAGCGUCCCCCACAGAGCUGUCUGGGGUGUUAAGGGCUCCCAGGCUGGAUGA